GCCCUUACUCCUACGGGAGGCAGCAGUGGGGAAUCUUGCGCAAUGGGGGAAACCCUGACGCAGCAAUACCGCGUGGACGAUGAAGGCCUUCGGGUCGUAAAGUCCUGUUGGGUGGGAAGAAAUGCUUCCGUACGAACAGUGCAGGAGUUUGACAGUACCACCUGAGGAAGCUCCGGCUAACUCCGUGCCAGCAGCCGCGGUAAUACGGAGGGAGCGAGCGUUGUUCGGAAUUACUGGGCGUAAAGGGCGCGUAGGCGGCUUAGUAAGUUGGGUGCGAAAGACCAUGGCUCAACCAUGGGGUUGUACUCAAUACUGCUGGGCUUGAGUAUAGGAGAGGAGAGUGGAAUUCCCAGUGUAGCGGUGAAAUGCGUAGAUAUUGGGAGGAACACCGGUGGCGAAGGCGGCUCUCUGGACUAAUACUGACGCUGAGGCGCGAAAGCUAGGGGAGCGAACGGGAUUAGAUACCCCGGUAGUCCUAGCUGUAAACGAUGGAUACUAGGUGUAGGAGGUAUCGAAUCCUUCUGUGCCGAAGCUAACGCAUUAAGUGUCCCGCCUGGGGAGUACGUUCGCAAGAAUGAAACUCAAAGGAAUUGACGG
rnacentral:rRNA from 1 species